GCGGCCGCGACCCCGACGGCUUCCUGCGCGUGGAGCGCGUCGCGGCUCUGGGACUGCGCUUCGGCCAGGGCGAGGAGGUCCUUCUGAGCGGUCUGCAUAUCCACCCUUGUCUGGGGGAGAGAGCUGCCAGAAUCCGGCCCCAGGCUCCCCACCCAACCCCCCGCUGCGGAGACCAAGAUGCAAGGGUCUGUGUACGCCCUGCUGGGCCGGGCCAGGGGGUGAAAGGGACCGGUAGGGGUGCUCUGCAGCCUUGGCUCCUCGGCUGCACCCACCCUGCCUAGACACGGAAGGAGGUGUCUGCUGGGGCCACCGUGUAUUCCCGGGCCAGUGCCGGGUGACCUCUCAUUCAGGCUCUGCUGGGCAGCCAGGCUGGCAGCUGGCUGUGUUGGUUGCAGCAGGCCAGGCAAAGCCAGGCUCGGGGAGUGGUGGCUGAGCAGAAGGCUUUCAUGUGGC
rnacentral:sRNA from 1 species